rnacentral:rRNA from 1 species
UACAUGUGGGGCAAGCGUUGUUCGGAAUUAAUGGGCAUAAAGGGUGCGCAGGCGGGCUGGUAAGUCUGGGGUGAAAUCUCGCCGCUUAACGGCGAAACUGCCUUAGAUACUAUCAGUCUUGGAUAAGCGAGAGGUUCGUGGAAUUCCGAGUGUAGCAGUGAAAUGUGUAGAUAUUCGGAAGAACACCAGUGGCGAAGGCAGCGAACUGGCGCUUUAUCGACGCUCAGGCACGAAAGCAUGGGGAUCAAACAGG